UUCCCAGACACGACCCGCCAACGACAAAGUAGUGAAGGUGCGCGCCUACGAGAGUGAAGACUAGUGAUCGUGAUGCCUAGACCUGUGUUAUUACUCUCUCUCUCUCUCUCUCUCUCUCUCUCUCUCUCUCUCUCUCUCUCUCUCUCUCUCUCUCUCUCUCACCUUUCCCCACCUCAGUGCCAUCAGCCACGCUACACACACAAACCAUCAGUACGUAAUAGCCAGCCUGAGCAGUGCCAGGUAAACACACCCAACCAAUGGGUCAACACUCGCUGCCUUCACAGACACUGGGCUGUAAGAGUGGAACUUCGACAAAAAAACAUCUAUUGCAUUCUUUCUAAUGGCAAUGCCGCCACUACGAUUAAAUCCACAUCACUUUCAGGAUGUUCACAAAGACUUUCGACACUUCCGACACGCCACUUCCAGAUGCCAGCGCAACAGAGUGAAUUCCUGCUCUUGUGUCUUGUCUCGCGCCGCCACUUACAUUUCCGCCGCAUUUUUCUUUCUGUUCCCCGCAACACUCCUCCUUCCACUAGGAGGUGCCCCUAGGACGCCACGCGAACACCAACCCUACCCACGAGUCCCCCGGCCGCAGGUCCAAGGCGGGGUGGAGCCACUGUCACCGCUACACUGAGCGCCAACAGACCACGCCCCUUUUGUACGUGAACACGGAAGGCCUUUCGAUGCAGGAUUUAUGUACAUGCCUUCCGUGCUGUGAUACGACAGCAGCGUGAAAAUUCCACUGUCCCCGCCUGGCCAGGAAUUUGAAACUCGGACAGGAUUGGUGCAGUGCCAGCCAGGCUGUAGCAGGGCUGGAGUCAGUUCAGCCCUGUGCGGCACCAUGACGUAAAGUGUCAUUCGCCCUCUGUGUUAAUUAAACAAACAAUCCAUUAUGUCUGUGAUUCAUGAAUACUAGCCAGUUUUAGCACACUACGUGACAACCGAAGCUUAGUUUCAGCAUUCUGGUUACUUCAAUACUACAUAUUCUACUUAAUAACUUGAUAAAUGUUUCUCACAGCUUUAGCAGUGUAUAAAUUUUAAAUUAUGAGCCUAUGAGGUACAAAACAUAACAUUUGUGAUUCAAAUAAAACUGCCUACAGCAUGGCCUCAUUAAUAUUGUAAUCUGAAAUUAUUAUGCAGCCCCCACCAAUUUUAUUUGCCAUGAGCCACCACUGCUGUCAAGGAUGAGUGCACCUGUCUAACUUAACUCCUUUAAUCAUUGGUAUUUGCAAGCUUUUUCAUCAUUGCAAGGUAAUGUUCCCAGAAAGAUUUAAUUCAUCUUUCAUGGAACACUACUUUGCAAUGAUAAAAAACCCUCCAAUAAAUUAUUUUGUCUAAUUUCUGCUUGCUUUCUCAUUCCUGGUAACUAUGUAAUUUUUUAAGGAUUUACUUAUUAGCCUUUACCUAUAUUAAUUUUAGUACAAUUCCUUUCCUCUGUAUAACACAUUGCCUUGAACCUCUAAUUCUUAUUCUAUACAGAUGCAAAAUUAUUUUUUUUCUCAAAAAUACCAUCAUAUACAGUACCUAUCUACAAAACAGAUGAAAGAAGCUAAUUAAGGCAAGGCACCCAUCCACCCAACCAUACAUACACACAUGCACUCACAAUGAAAUCCACAAGUGUUCCCUAAGAGUAAUUUGACAACCAUAUCCUAGGUUUAAGAUCUCACUGUGAGAAGAUGACAAGUCCUCACUACAACAUAGCAAUCUCCAUAUCAAGGCCUCACAGCAGAACUAGUUUAUCCCUACUGCCUCACUCAUCCCUUUCCUACAUCUGAUCUGAUCAGGUAAUCAGAUUAUAUGGAAGGAAAUCUUUACAGACCCAAGAGGUUGCAUUCCAUUUAUGAAUUCAGAACUGCUCUUCAUUCAGGCUAUCAUGCAGUCACUCUCCCUGCUAUCCAGACAUCACAGUUGCAUGAAAUGUUCUAUCUACACUGAACACAAAUAUAAUUUCUUGGUCUUCCCAUUAGCCUAACAUUUCUCAUAUACAGUCAAGUUAUCUUCUUCACCAAUCACUCUUCCAUUCUCUUCACAAGUCCAAACUAUUAUAACUUUCUGAUCCCUCCAUCUAACAUGAUUACUCCCAUGUCUCAUCCCCAUACAGUGCAGUUCUAUAUUAUCCCUACACUUUCACACGCUCUCCUCUUGGCAUUCAUUCUGGAUACCCUACAACAAAAUACUCGUCAAUUUCUCCCCACUUCAUUCAUUCUAAAUUUCACUUUGCCAUAUAACCCAUUCUUCCAUUGACAGUAAUAUGCAAUUCUAGCUACUUGAAACAGUUCAUCUCUUCAAACAACCUUCCAUUCAAAACUACAUAUGUCCCCACCAUUCUCAAGCACUUAAUUAUUUUACUUUUAGCCUCAUCCAUUUUCAAUCACCUCUUUUCACAUGGUUCCAGACUCCUUUAUCCGUUGUCUCAGUCUUUCCUCUAAAGCAGCUCCCAGCAAAAUUUAAUGUGCAGAAAGCAGCAUUGCAUUCAUUCCUUUCAUCUAUCAAGUCCAUAGAGUUUCAAACAGUCUACAACCCCCUUCUACCUAUUCUGUAAUUCACUUUAUAUAAAUCCACAAAUGCUUAAAACACAUCAGUACAUUUUGCUUGAUCAUUUUCAUACAUUUAUCUUGCAGCAAACAUCUGUUCCUUACAUGCCUUUUCUUAUACAUAUACUUUUAGAACAUUUUUAAGGCAGUCACCAUACAGCUCAUGAAGCAUACAUUUAGCAGUCUGCUCAACCACUGUCACACAGUCAUGCUGUCAUUUCUUAAACAUUCAACCACACUUUCAUCCCAAUCUGCAGGUAUCACAACUUUCAUCCCUUUCACUGCCACUUAAAUUUUCUCCUUUAUGAUUAAAGAUUCAUUUAAUUCUCCAAGUACAUUCAUUCCCUGCUUCAUUCAUACUGUAACAACCUCAGGUUCCCAUCACCUACCAUAAAUGAAUUCUUAAUAUAACUUAAAUUUUCUAAAGGAAUAAAAUAAUACACUUUAUUAAAAACACAUUCUAUUUACAAAGCACAUGUCUGUACAUCAACAAAGAAACUUACUUCAAGAUGGUAAUGGUCAGAGGUUUGAUGGCCUUUCAUGUCUUCUUCAAACAAAACUUCCCAUAUCACUCUUACAGUUAACAAAUUUUUAAUACUGUAGAAUUAAGAAUAAAAUGUGCUUUCAUGACAUCACUGAGUCAUAGUUGUGAUCUAACACAUUUAUCCUGUACACUUUCCUUACUCAUCAAACAUGUGCAGCACUCCUGAAUAGCCGCAAUGGACAAUAAAGUAUAAUAAAAUCUACACAAUAUACAAUAUGUGUUCAUUUACAAGUAAUCAUAAAUAAUCCUAUCUACUAUAGUAUAAAUAUCAACACAUUCUCUAUCAACACUUACUUGUAUAUAACUAACACUUCCUCUGCUUCAUCUACAUGACCACCAACAAAAUCAUGAAAACUAGUCAUACAUAAACAUACCUCACUUAUUCUUAUUUAAUGGCUUCUUGAAUCUCUUGAGUGCGGUGUGUGCC